rnacentral:snoRNA from 1 species
UGUCUAAGAUGAUGAUAUAAUUUGCGAUUGAGAGCAGGUCAUCCUGAGGCAUGCCUAGCUUCAUUAAGGGAGGCCAGCGUCAUGCGAUCAAAUUUAGUAUCUGACGAGUGA